rnacentral:rRNA from 1 species
AACGAACGCUGGCGGCAUGCCUAACACAUGCAAGUCGAACGAGACCUUCGGGUCUAGUUGCGCACGGGGGCGUAACGCGGGGGAACCUGCCCUUAGGUUCGGAAUAACUCCCCGAAAGGGGUGCUAAUACCGCAUAAGUCUUCGCACCAAAGAUUUAUCUCCUUUGGAUGGGGCCGCGUUGGAUUAGCUAGUUGGUAGGGUAAAAGCCGACCAAGGCGACGAUCCAUGGCUGGUCGGAGAGGAUGAUCAGCCACACUUGGACUGAGACACGGACCAGACUCCUACGGAAGGCAGCAGUGGGGAAUAUUAGACGAUGGGCGAAAGCGUGAUCCCGCAGUGCCGCGUGAGUGAUGCAGGCCUUAGGAUUGUAAAUCUGUUUUAGACGGGAUGAUAAUGACAGUACCGGGAGAAUAAGCUCCGGCUAACUACGUG